rnacentral:rRNA from 1 species
CAGUAGCCGCGGGAAUACGAAGGGUGCAAGCGUUACUCGGAAUUACUGGGCGUAAAGCGUGCGUAGGUGGUGGUUUAAGUCCGUUGUGAAAGCCCUGGGCUCAACCUGGGAAUUGCAGUGGAUACUGGGUCACUAGAGUGUGGUAGAGGAUAGUGGAAUUUCCGGUGUAGCAGUGAAAUGCGUAGAGAUCGGAAGGAACAUCUGUGGCGAAGGCGACUAUCUGGGCCAACACUGACACUGAUGCACGAAAGCGUGGGGAGCAAACAGGAUUAGAUACCCGGGUAGUCCCUGUCUCUUAUAC